rnacentral:rRNA from 1 species
AGCGAACGCUGGCGGCAUGCUUAGCACAUGCAAGUCGCACGGGCAGUAGCAAUACUGUCAGUGGCGGACGGGUGAGUAACGCGUAGGAAUCUAUCCUUGAAUGGGGGACAACCGUGGGAAACUACGGCUAAUACCGCAUGAUGCCUGAGGGCCAAAGACGAAAGUCGUUUGAGGAGGAGCCUGCGUCUGAUUAGGUAGUUGUGGGGUAAAGGCCUACCAAGCCUACGAUCAGUAGCUGGUCUGAGAGGAUGAUCAGCCACAUUGGGACUGAGACACGGCCCAAACUCCUACGGGAGGCAGCAGUGGGGAAUAUUGGACAAUGGGCGCAAGCCUGAUCCAGCAAUGCCGCGUGGGUGAAGAAGGUCUUCGGAUUGUAAAGCACUUUUGGCAGGGACGAUGAUGACGGUACCUGCAGAAUAAGCCCCGGCUAACUUCGUG